UUAAGGAAGGGUAAACCUUUGCUUAUAUAUAUAUAUAUAUAUAUAUAUAUAUGACAACUGACUUGCUGCACACUUAAAUGUAAAAUUUGAUUGGCUAAACUAAAGUUAGUGCUGUGAUGUGAGAAAAGAUAUUAGGAGAAAAACAGUUCACCUUUAAAUGAAAACAUUAAAUGGAUCACUUUAUUUGGCGAGAUCAGGGGUUCUCCACCCUGGCUCUACAUUAGAAAUCCCCAGGAGCUUUUAAACUUACUGAUGCCUAGGUUGACCCAGACCAAUUACAGAAGAAUCUUUGGGCAUGAGAUCCAGUUACCAGUAUUUUUUAAAGCUCCCCAGUAAUUCCAAUAGAUAGCCGAGGUUGAGAACCACUGAGCUAGGUGGAAACUCCUACUCUUCAUGGUUGCAUUUCAGAAGAGGUAUAUAUAGAGAGCAUUAAAGUUUGGGAUCAUCAUUUAACUGUCUAAAAGUUCAAACAUUUUUCCAGGUCCUUCUUAGCAUGGUCUGAGGAUCAUCAGCAUUGGCUUCAGGGAUUGAGUUAGAAAUGCAGAAUCUCAAGUCCUCACCCUAGAUGUGCUGAACCAGAUUCUGGAUUUGGACAAGACCUCCAGGUGAUCUCUGUGCACUUUAAAGUUUGAGAAGCACUGUUGGAGGUGGUAUUAGGGUGAAAUUUGGACCCAGAGGCUUGCAGGGAGAACACUGAACAUGGAGUUGAUCAUCUACAAGUCAAGCAGAGAGGCCUGGAACAGAUCCUUCCCUAACAGCCCUCGGGAGGAACCAACCCUACUGAUGCUUUCAUUUCAUUUUGGACUUCUAGCCUUUCUGUGUGUAAGCUGCCACCCUGCCCGGUCUGUGGUACUUUGUUCCAGCAACCCUAGCAAACCAAAUACAUGUAGUGAUCAUGAGUGAGGCCCGUCCUAGGUCCCCUGUACAAUGCUGCUUCUCUGGUCCCUAAAGUCAAUGUUUUUUUCCAUGGUAGUCCCUAAUAUAAUGAUUGCUGAUGUUUACCAGCUGUUGUACCAGCACUGCUCUAGGGGUUCCACACGUAGCAAUUUGUUUAAUCCUCACAAAACCUGUGAGGUUGAUGCUAUUGUUAUUCCUGUUUUACGGAUGAGAAUAUCAAAGGAUGGAGGCGGCCAGUAACGUGUGCCAGGUAACAACAGUAGCAAUAGCAGAUCCUAGAUUUGAAUUGGAAGUCUGGGUUUUGAGCGCGGAUGUGUAAUUCCUACAUUAUACUCCUUUUCAAUGUGGCCAUGUGUGGGGUUUAUAAAAUAGGAAGGACUCAGCAAAAAAGAGGGGCAGGGUGAGUGACUAUUCCUCACAGGUUUUGGGGAUUGGAUGGAUUGAACGAGGAAAAAGGCACCGGCUUUCUCCUCUCUGUCGUCCCCUGCCAACUGGGGGAGAGAAAAUCUGGUCUGAAUCGGAAAUGCCAAGAUGCUGGGAAGCCACUCCUGGGGUUGCAGUAGGUGAGGCGGGAUUGAGCAGGAAACCCCACCCACCCUCCUCGGGCGAGCACGGUUCUUGGAGGGGCUGGGGGAAGGAGGCUGGCUGGUAAACACGGGAAGGGGUUCUUGUUCCAGCUGGAGUGCCUCUGAAGGCCCUCCCAGGAUCCUCCGCACACAGUCGUCUCAGGUGCGAGCACUUGGCCACACCCUGCUGCUUUCCUAGGCCGUGCGCUGUUGCUAAUACGUCAGAAGAAGGCGGGCCCUGCGGAAGUCAGGUCCUGCCUUUAGCACGGAGUUCCUUGGCUGGAAAGAUCGCAGCCCCUCCCUCUGCCCCCGGCCCAAACUGCCUCUCAGGGUUUGGGAGCUGCAACACCGGCAAGUGCGAAACCCUGUCAGCCUUAGAAUUCUCAGCGGCACGGACGGGACCUGGCCACGCAUGGGACGCGUUAGAGGGUUAGUCUGUCAGAGCUGGGAAUCGCCCCCAGGACCCACCCAGGACUCACUCGCCCUCCUGCCUCUCUCGUUUUAAGGUGAUAGCCAAUGACUUUGCUGCCUCCGUCACUGACUGGCUCGUUCCACUGCACUUCCAUGCUGUCCUUGGAGGAGAGCGUUACGAACGGUGUGCCAGGAGGACCAGGAACCUUGAAGGGAUACUGGGCUACAACAGACUCUGAAUUGAGAGAAUAGACGCCUUGGUGGCUCCUCUGGCAAUUCUUGAUGACCAUGGAUGAGCUAAUGGCUGUGGACUCAAUGGUGGCUUCUUGAGUGGAUCAACUGCAAGAAUUGGUCCUAUUUCAACAGGAGGGCCACAGCCAAACUUGUUCUUGGCAAUCACACGGAACAUAUAUUCUUGUCCCUCAAGGAGACCCGUGAUAUCACAUUUGGAUCUUUCAGUCUCUAUUGGCUGUCUCCAGGUAUGCAUCUUAGCAUCUUUUCUUUCAAUGAUAAAGCCUGUGAUGUCACUUCCUCCAUCAUCUUCUGGAUCAGACCAGUUAAGCAGACACAUCUUUCUGUUUGUUACAACAGGUUUUAAGUCAAGAACUGGACCAGGGACAUCUGAAAAAUAAAACAGCAACAACAAAAAAAUCAAUGCAGUAAGACAGUAUCACUCGGGAAAAAUCCUAUGGAAAUCCAUGUAAUAUUCCUUACCAAAAACUUCUACCCUGGCUGCUGCAAAUUUGGAACCACAGCUGUUGGUAGCUGUAAUCACAUAUCUGCCAUGAUCUUUUCUCAAUGCAUCCUUGAUAAUUAGUUCAGAUUUGGUUCCAACGUUCUCUAUUACAACACGGUCUUUAUCCAGGUCUCCUUCUUCUUUGGUCCACACUCUUGUUGGCACAGGACGACCAGUUACCACAGCUGGAAUUCUAAGAGUUUUCCCAGCCAUUAUCUGUAUUCCAGCCUUGACAGAAACAUCUAGUUCCACAGUUGGAGGCUCUGUUGAAAGAGAACAAUCAUGAAAUAAAGAUGAAAAAGAAAAUCCUAUAAAAUAGAUUAACAGGUUUAUACUGUAUAGCACAGGGAACUAUAUUUGAUAUCUUGGUGAAAAAGAAUAUGAAAACAAAUAUAUGUAUAUUCAUGUAUGACUGAAGCAUUGUGCUAAACACCAGAAAUUGAUACAUUGUAAACUGACUAUACUUCAAUUUAAAAAAAAGUUAAAAAAAAAAAAUCCCAUACUGGGAAAACAUCCAUAAUCUUAUUCAUGUGACUUUUAAGUACCUUGUGGUUCAGCCACAGUCACAGGUUCUGUUUCUCCAGGCGGUCCUUCACCUGCAGCGUUGACAGCGCUCACUCGAAGUUUAUAAUCGGCACCCUCUCGGACUUCUUUGACAGUGUACUCACGGGCCUUGAUCAUCUUCUCUGUGCAGCGUGACCAUUCAUUUGUGCCAACCAGCUGCUUAUCGACAAAGUAACCAAUGAUUUCCCCACCACCAUUGAAAGCUGGGGGUUCCCAUGCUAGUUCAAUAGCUGUAGAACUUGUGUCAGUGACUCUCGGGAUAGGUGGCCCAGGUGGAGCUAGAAUGAAUGCAGACACACAAAUCAGAACUCACUGAUGGUUUUAAAAUGUACAGUAGCUUACGCUAUCCCACUUUCUUUUUUUUUCCCCCCAGUGUGUUGCAGGUAUAUGGGUAAAUACUGUUUUGUGAAACUUUCAAGUUAUCUAUACAGAUGUUUGAAAUUUUACAUUGCAACCUCAAGAGACAUGUCUGUAGUCACGUCUACUAUUGCUAGUGUUUAGUUUGAUUUUUUUCCAGCUUUAUUUAAUAGAUCCUAUUGUCAUAUACCACAUGUAAGUUUAAGGUGUACAAUAUGAUGAUUUGAUACAUGCAUAUAUUGCAGAAUAAUUACCACGAUAAUGUUGUACCACAUAAUAAUACCCCUACCCCCUCACAUAAUUACCAUUUUUGAUACCACUUAAGAUCUGCUCUCUUGACAAUUUUCAAGCAUAUAAUAUAGUACUGAUAAUUAUAGUGACCAUGCUGUACCCUACUUUCUUCUUAAGGGAUUACUUACAGAUUGGAUCAUGUGCUGUUUUGGGAUCUGAAGGGGGACUGAACUUUCCAGGUCCAGCUGCAUUUUCGGCACAUACUCUGAAGACAUAGCAGAACAAAAUUUCCCAGCAAAGGACUAACCUACGACUUUCACGCAGGAUGAACACUCCAGGUUGUUGGCGUUUUCCACAGUCACUGUGUAUGUUCCGGCAUCGGAGUCGUCUGCGUCAUUGAUGGUCAGGGCCCGCAGCAAGCCAAUGACACCGGGAACAAUCUUGCCGGGUUUCUCCACCACAAUCUUCCCAUCCUUCCUCCAGACCACGUCACGCUCUUUGUUUAGCUCACAGCUCAAGUACAAUGGCUGUCCUUUGACCACUGUGACUUCCUCUUCAAGAGUUUUUACAAAACGCACAGGAAGUUCUGUAGAGAAUUUCAGUAUUAAAAAUCUGCAGAGACUUUCCAAUACAUACAAUGCUUUCAGUGGAAUAAAACUUGGAAAUAAGACAUUUUGUCUUAAAGGACAAUAAAAAGUUGCUACUGAGGUUUAUUGUGUUAAAGUUUAUUACGGACCACAUUCAGAAGACUGGAAAUUACCUUCAACAAUAAGUUUUGCCGUGGAGGUCUUUUCCUUAUUCCCCAGACGUAAAACACAGGUGUACUCGCCAGCAUCAGAGAGUUGAACAUCAAUGAUGUGCAGCUUUCUGUCUUUACCAUCAGCGAUGAAUCUGUGCUUUGGGCUCUCCCGGAUGUUGCUACCAUCUUUCAUCCAGCUUGUAACUGCAGUGGAGGGGGAGACCAAACACUCAAAGAUUGCAGAGGAGCCAACUGACUCUGCUUCAGUCAAGACAAUGUCUUUGAUUUCUUUCACAAACUUCAGUGGCACAGCCUUUAGCUGUUUAGGAAAAUGCAAGACGACAUACAUAGAUGAGACAAAGAAAACAACAUCUAUUUAUGAACGGAUGAAAUUGAUGGGAGACAAAGAAAGCAACACUCAUGAGCCAGGACCAUAAAAGCUACAGAAACACAAGGAAUCAAUGAGACUACUCUGAUGAUCUUAGAAGAAGAAGAACAUUCUGAGGACCGGGAAGAGCAAGGAGUCAAAGGAAUGGACACUGCUAUGAGCAUUUUCUAGACUGUGAAAUACCUUUCAGAGGUUUCAGCUCCACUUUUUCUGGAACCUGCGGUUUUUCAGGAACUUUCUUCUUCGAAACAGCUUCAAAGAAUAUGAUCUUACUUUUAUUAUUUGUAUAUUUAGACUGGCCUGAACAAAUUAUUAAAUACUUGCUCUAAGAAUCAAAACCAAGCUUUGCUUAGAACCCCAAAGCAAUAAUAACAGCCAAGAACAGCCACUAAAGAACAUACAGGAAGCGUUUAAACCAUGAAAACAGAUUGCUGUUUUACUCCAAAGUUUAGUAAGUUCAAGUCUGGCUGAGAAGGAAGAUAAUUUUUGUUCUUUGCAGGAGGAAGAAAUUUUCCUUUGCAUAUAAAUUUUACAUGAAGGGAAAUGUAUUUAAGUUUGUGUCCUCAUGGAAUAUCAGUCAACAAAUGGGUAGCCUUUUAAGAAGUGCCCACUUUUUCUGUGUCUGCUAAAAUGCCAGAAGCUCCCCCUAUAGGCCAGGAGGGUUGUAGAGAGCCAAGAAUCAGUGGAAACCAUUCUUACUUUGGAAGAUUCUGGUUUUUUCCAUGUAUAGGUGAGUAUGGGGAAAGUGCGCAUCUAAGAUUAUAUCUAGAUUAUUUUAGAUUGGAAAAAAUCUCAUGGCACCACAAAUAAGACAUGUUAUUAAAAUAAAAAGAAUACUGUGAUUGGCUAGUUUA